rnacentral:rRNA from 1 species
GACGAACGCUGGCGGCGUGCCUAAUACAUGCAAGUCGAACGCAGUGGGGACGGGUGAGUAACACGUGGGUAACCUCCCAUCAGAGGGGAUAACACUUGGAAACAGGUGCUAAACCGAUACUGAUGGAUGGACCCGCGGUGCAUUAGCUAGUUGGUGAGGUAACGGCUCACCAAGGCCACGAUGCAUAGCGGGGCUGAGGGGUGGAGCUGCCAGACUGGGACUGAGACACGGCCCAGACUCCUACGGGAGGCAGCAGUGGGGAAUCUUCGGCAAUGGGCGAAAGUCUGAACGAGCCACGCCGCGUGAGUGAAGAAGGUUGUCGGGUCGUAAAACUCUGUUAUUAGGGAAGCGGUAUCUAACCAGAAAGCCACGGCUAACUACGUGGCAGCAGCCGCGGUAAUAC